rnacentral:tRNA from 1 species
GGAGAUUGUGGUGUAGUGGUUACACUCAGGUACGUGGCACCUGAUAACGUGGGUUCGAUUCCCACCUUUCUCCU